UACGAGUGCCCCAAGCGUUAUCCGGAAUCAUUGGGCGUAAAGGGUGCGUAGGCGGUUUGGCAAGUCUUGUGUGAAAUCUUCGGGCUCAACCCGAAGCCUGCAUAAGAAACUGCCGGGCUUGAGUAUGGGAGAGGUGAGUGGAAUUUCCGGUGUAGCGGUGAAAUGCGUAGAUAUCGGAAGGAACACCUGUGGCGAAAGCGGCUCACUGGACCAUAACUGACACUGAGGCACGGAAGCUAGGGGAGCAAACAGG
rnacentral:rRNA from 1 species